rnacentral:misc_RNA from 1 species
AAGACUAUAGACCUGCGGAGUACCUGCGGAAGGAUCAUUAGUGAACGCCCUCACGGGUUUAUAACUAUUCCAAACCUCUGUGAACCGUGCCCUUCGGGGCUAUUUUACAAACAUGGUGUAAUGAACGUCAUAUAUCAUAACAAAACAAAACUUUCAACAAUGGAUCUCU